ensembl:misc_RNA
CAAGACUUUCCUUCUACCACCCUGGGAUGCUGGGGGCUGACCUCACAGGUUGGAGGACACGAGUGUUCCUGGGCAGGACAGACAACCAGGCCAUCGGGCUGGAAGGUCUUUGGAGACACAUUGCCCACUGGGGUCAAGGGCAAUGGAGGUAAGG